AGGGGAACUGAAGUGAAAAAUGAAAAUCAUUUAAAAAGUAGUUUUCAUCGUGCUGAUUUCGGAUAUCGACACGAAAUUAGUGUUUUUCUUUUCGUUUUCCUGCAUUUAACGCGCAAAGUGUGAAAUUUCUCCAUUUCCGUGGCGGAGAGGUCUGGAGACAAGUUUCAGGCGCUGACGUAAAGUCGUGGACACGUGCCCCGAACCUAACGAAAACAACAGUGUAGUAGAGUGAAUCGGAGGGAGGGAAUUUGGUUAGUAGUUAAAGUUUCAGAUCGCAAUUUUCACGACAGCUCUUCAGGAAUGACAACAGACUUAAGAUCGAGCGACGAUGAAGUGUUUGGAGCAUGUGGUGGUGAAGUACUUGCCCUACCAAGGGCGAACGGGACCUGCGAAAGUGGCGAUGAAGAUUAGCCUAGGCCCGAUGAGAUCCCAGAGGAUGAGGAUGAAUUAUCUCCCACGACGUGCUUGUUUUGUUGGUAGAAAUGAGGAAGUAGAUAAAUGGUAUCUACAAACAGUGGCUGAUCAAUGUAUGGUUUGCUGGUUUUUGGGUAUUUGUGCUGGAAUAACUGGACAACUUUAAGUAUGCAUUUAUCACAAAUGUAAAGAAAAUAACUUUAGUCAAAGAAGACAAGAGUUUCAAAAUUCUGCAGAGAGACAAUGAAAAUGCAAAAAUCAGCUACCUACUACAUAUACAGUGGAGAACAGGGUUAUAUACAGGGGUUAUUCAAAAGGACCAGACUUUUUGUUCAAAAUAGCAAGAAGAGAAAUUUGUUGAAACUAGUGGGACAAUGGCCAAAUCUUGUCAGCCCUAGGCCAAAUCACUAGAUUAGUCACAUCAAGGGGUGGGGGGGAUUCAGCAAGGCUUGAUAUUUUUAAGAUUCCUAAGGUGUACUUUUCAACAUAGUUCACUCACAACAAAAUGUGUAGAAUAGUUUGGAUUUGAUCAAGAUUUUCUCUUACAAUAAUGGUCCUGUACCACCUGCUUGGUAACAUUUUUUAUAAAUAAUCAGAGGAAAAUGUUUUACCUUCAGGGUACAAUGUUCUUUUAAUGUAUUCUGUCACUGCCUGUUGUUAAGAUACACUGUUUUUAAAUUUUGAGAAUGAAGUUUUUUUGUGCCCAA